AUAGAACGCUGGCGGCAUGCUUUACACAUGCAAGUCGAACGGCAGCACGGGGGCAACCCUGGUGGCGAGUGGCGAACGGGUGAGUAACACAUCGGAACGUGUCCUGUGGUGGGGGAUAACCUAUCGAAAGGUAGGCUAAUACCGCAUGAGCUCGAAAGAGGAAAGCGGGGGAUCGAAAGACCUCGCGCUGCAGGAGCGGCCGAUGUCCGAUUAGCUAGUAGGUAGGGUAAAGGCCUACCUAGGCGACGAUCGGUAGCUGGUCUGAGAGGAUGAUCAGCCACACUGGGACUGAGAAACGGCCCAGACUCCUACGGGAGGCAGCAGUGGGGAAUUUUGGACAAUGGGGGCAACCCUGAUCCAGCCAUGCCGCGUGAGUGAAGAAGGCCUUCGGGUUGUAAAGCUCUUUCGGUGGGAACGAAACGGUUCGGACUAAUGCUCUGGAUCACUGACGGUACUCACAGAAGAAGCACCGGCUAACUACGUGCCAGCCGCCGCGGUAAUAC
rnacentral:rRNA from 1 species